rnacentral:tRNA from 1 species
GCCUGUGUGGCUCAGUUGGUUGAGCAUCAGACUUCGGAUCAGGUCAUGAUCUCGUGGCUCAUGGGUUCGAGUCCUGCGUCAGGCU